AAGGCUAUGCUUUUAGGGAUCAUUUCUCUAGAUGGUGAUUGGGGAAGGGUGAUUGUCAAAACUUGGCCUUGCUAACCACGAUGAAGACCUGUAGUGUUUUUUUCUGAGCAUGACAAUGGUUGAGAGUACUGUUUUGUGGCAGCUGCUUUCUGCUGUCGAAGAGUGUUUUGCUUUUCUUGGGAAGAGCAGGGGAAAUAAACAGUCUGAGUGGU